CCCAAAUCCCUGCAGGGCUGCGUCCAUCUCGAUGGCAGGAGAGGGGUUGGGAUCACAUGGAGCAUCCUUCCCCUUCUGUCCAGCAGAGCCAGCCCUGCAUUCCCAGUGGAUGGGAAGGGACACCAGUGCAGGGUCAAUAGUGAACUCCACUGAACUCCUUUGGUGCCUGUGACCAAAAAGAGCUUGAAACAUGGAAAUUCCCAUCACCAGAUGCCUGGACCAUUUAAUGGCACAGAAAUCAGGGGGUUAUGCUGCUCUUCUGCAGAAUGGGGCCAUCCUCUGCUUCCGCAGCAUCAAUGUCCAAGGAAGGCCUUGACCACCUCCAUCCUGAACCUGGCCACCCUCAGGAGGAGCCGAACAGCGACCCUGCACAGCAGCUUCAGCCACAGUCCAGCCUGUACUGCUCUUUGGCAUUCUGUAACUAGCCCUAAGUUAAGUCUGCAUUUAUGGGUUUUUUUAAUCCAUUGUGGUAAAACUGAUCACAGAAGUUGCUGAAUAAACAACAUCCAGGCGUAA